UUUGUUAGUUACUGUUUUAUUAUUUUCAUAAUUUUUGUUGUAUAAUUAUUACUUUAUUAUUGUUGUGUUGAAUUAAAGAAAAAAGAAGAGGAAGAAAGACACGGCGUGGAAGAAGGAGAAGGGGAAAAGAAGAAGUAUGCACAGUAACUACUCCUUCUUGUUUUUUUUUGCGCCAAGCAAAAAAAAAAAAAAAAUGCAUGCAUUUUUU
rnacentral:ribozyme from 14 species